GAGAGUGGUCAGGCAUGAUAGAGAGGUCGUGCAGGACGCGCUCACAUCGCCGCGGCUCCUCUCAGCAUCACUCCGCUGAGGGCCGACGCCGUCAGCUUCACGAAACCCUUCCUGGACACGUCUCUCGCCUUCCUCGUCGGCUCGGCGCCGACGCGGCAGGUGCUGCAGGGCGACGACAAAGGCGCCCUCCCGUGGCUGCUCAGACCGUUCACCUUUUACGUGUGGGUCGCCUGCUUGAUCGUCUGGCUGCUCGUCUGGAUUGUCAUGGUGAUCAUCAACCGGUUUAGUCCGUACGAAUGGAAGGAAAAGAGCAGUCGUGGAAGGAGCAGUUAUGGUGAAGCGGAAACUUACAGUCCGUCUAAUUCUGCAUUCUCUAUCAGCAGUAUUCUC